UGUAAAGUUCAAGCUCCGAUUGUGAGGGCGAAACCGCGAAUGGCUCAUUAAAUCAGUCAUAAUCUACUUGAUUGUUUAAAGUUUAUAUGGAUAACUGUGGUAAUUCUAGAGCUAAUACAUGCGUGAAGGGGGCGACUCCGCGAGGAGAAGCUCUGCGUUUAUUAGACUAAGACCGGCGGGUUCCGCAAGGGACUCUCGCUUUGGUGGUGACUCUGAGUAAAUAAUGGGUGCAAGCCCAUGUUGCCGACCUGGCACUCAAACGGGCGGAGCAAUUUGUCCGGCCAGGCGAAUCAAUCGAGUGUCUGCUCUAUCAACUGUGGAUGGUAGGGUAAUUGCCUACCAUGGUGGUGACGGGUAACGGGGAGUUAGGGCUCGACUCCGGAGAACAAGCCUGAGAAACGGCUAGUAGGACUAAGGUCUGCAGCAGGCGCGAAACUUACACAAUGCUAGAUUUCUAAGAUGAUAGCGAUGUAGUGAAGAAAAAUAACGAUGUGCUUGUGUUUAAACAUACUUGCACAAUUGGAAUGAGACGACUCUAAACCAGUCAGUCGAGUAACAAAUGGAGGGCAAGUCUGGUGCCAGCAGCCGCGGUAAUUCCAGCUCCAUUAGCAUACAUUAAAGUUGUUGCGGUUAAAAAGCUCGUAGUUGAAUUUUGGACGGGCUCUCGUGGGCUGCGGUCGUUAAAGGUCGGCGGAUGCCUCUUCGGAGCUCCCCGGCUGGCCGUAGUCCCCACUUGGAACCCGUUGUUUCGUCACUUAAUCGAGUGCGAAGCGGGUCGGCGGAGACGGGGAGCAAUCCUCGCUGCGACGACAUGUUUACCUUGAGAAAAUUAGAGUGCUCAGCGCAGGCAGUUGGGGUGUAAAAGCCCCUUUAUGCUUGAAUAAUGUUGCAUGGAAUAAUAGAAUACGGCCUCGGUUCUAUUCUGUUGGUCUUAUAGAACAACAAACAAGUUGGUUUGGGCACUAAACGCCCGCCGGACGCCGUGGUUGGUCGCGAGUCGUGUUGUCUGGGGCCUAAAAAUCUCAGUACCUCGCUCGGUGGCCCUCCAUCUAAGCGGCCCCGGUUGGGUCAGCCCUCAACCAGCUGAGGCAAUGGUUAAAAGAAAUAGUCGCGGCGGCAUCAGUACUGCAUCGUGAGAGGUGAAAUUCUUAGACCGAUGCAAGACUAACUGAAGCGAAAGCGUUUGCCGAGGAUAUUUUCAUUAAUCAAGAACGAAAGUUAGAGGUUCGAAGGCGAUCAGAUACCGCCCUAGUUCUAACCAUAAACGUUGCCAACUAGCAAUUGGAUUGCGAUUCCUUUAACUGGCGCCUAAAAACCGCCAGUCAUUAUGAUCCAUCCAGCGGCUCUCGUAGGGAAACCAAAGUGUUUGGGUUCCGGGGGAAGUAUGAUUGCAAAGUUGAAACUUAAAGGAAUUGACGGAAGGGCACCACCAGGAGUGGAGCCUGCGGCUUAAUUUGACUCAACACGGGGAAACUUACUAGAUUAGAACUCUGGAAUGAUUGACAGAUUGAUAGCUCUUUCUUGAUUCAGAGGAUGGUGGUGCAUGGCCGUUCUUGAUUCGUAUUCCGAAACGUCUGCUUAAUUGCGAUAACGAGUGAGACCUCUCCACGCAAACUAGUUGCUCGGUGCGCUGUGGGACGCAAAAGUUCAGCGUCGGUUCAGGGCGAGUGGGUGUAAAAGCUCGCUGUCUCCCGGCGUUGGAUGUCCUCUGCUCGCCAGUAGACUUCUCUGCGGAAUCAUGAAUAAAAAAUUCAGAGAGACGAGGCAAUAACAGGUCUGUGAUGCCCUUAGAUAUUCUAGGCCGCACGCGUGCUACAAUGGCGUGUGCAGAAAGCUUGUUCGAGCUUCGUCCGAGGAGGGCUAGCUGUUUGGUUCGGAUGGGGGCAACUUCGUUCGGGUCGGCAGCCAAGCGGCCUCGGUAACGGGGCGAGAGAAACCGCGGUCGAAAGAUCGCGGCAAUCAUAAAUACACGCCGUGAUUUGGGAUUGGGGAUUGCAAUUGUUGCCCAUGAACGAGGAAUUCCCAGUAAGCGCGAUUCAUCAUAUCGCGCUGAUUACGUCCCUGCCCUUUGUACACACCGCCCGUCGCUACUACCGAUUGGAAGUUUUAGUGAGGCAUCUGGACUUGCUGGCCAGGGAGGGGGCAACUCCUCCAGGCUUGGCGGGGAAGUUUGUCGAACUCAAAUUUCUAGAGGAAGUAAAAGUCGUAACAAGGUUUCCGU
rnacentral:rRNA from 1 species